rnacentral:lncRNA from 1 species
UCCAGUGCUGGCUCCUCUCCUCUACCCCCACCUCCCAACUCACACAAUCUCUCCUCUCCCAGUGCCCCCUCCUACCACUCUGGCCUUCAAAGCACUUGAUGUCAGGGACCCUGAACCCCUCUCCUAAGAGGAGAGGGCCUGAUCAAGGCACUUCCUCUGCCCACUCGGGGCCCCCCUUUGAUUUUUACCAGUAACGGCCAUGCCUCUACCCACCUUAGUUAGAGCUAUUGCCAAAAAACAUCCUUCAGCCUCUUCCUGUCCUUUAGACCUGAACACCUAAUAGGCUUUGGGAGGGGCUGGGGCUCUGAGCCAGAUUCCACACCUCACUUCCGGUCCUAGCCCUCAAGCCCUCCAGCUACUGGCCUACCUCUCCUUCAGUCCCAGAAGAUGCCACAUUGUCUCGCUGACCCAGGGAGCCCAGGACCAGCAGAGCAAAGUGGACAUGGACUUCAUCCUUGUCUUGGUAGAGCAAGGCAAGGCCCCCAAAAGGGUUGCCGAGGUCUCAUAUCACCCUGGGAUGAACAGAUCUCAUUCCUACAGAAAAAAAUACUUCCCACCACGGCUGACGGAGGUGGCUACCGCUCACCUUUGGGUUCCCGUGAGCAUACACCUGGCCAUGGUCUCAGAAGCCCCACUCCGGCCAGGAGGAUUUUCUGCACGCUCUCCUAGCAGUUCAGCUCAACUCGGCGGACACUGACGAAUGGCUGCCGGAGCCAGGUUCUGGGAAUUCGAGAAUUUGUGCACUUGAGGUGGGGGUAGGGGAGACCCAAGGGCACAGGAUAUUGGUAAGGGCCGUGAGAGAGACUGGAAGCAAGGCUACUUCAGGAUGGUAGUGCAGAUCAGGGAUAGGUGAUGUCUGGGAAAAGGGGGUGCUGAGAUGGGCUCGAGAGUCAGGAAGGAGGGCAGGGCAAAGCACUGGGGCUGAUGGCAGUGGCUGACACUGUCCCUUUAAGGCCCUCGCUGCAGGGUCUCCUAGGGCAGAGCAUUGAGUGGCGCUGCCUUGUGACCCAGGUGCCAGCACUUUGGACUACGAAUGAAACGGAAUGUUCAAAUCUAGUGUCCAAGGAGGCCUCCUUCCAGCUCUUGGUUCCCGCAGCUCCCAAGCCCUCAGAGUGGAGGUGGAGGGGCAGAGACAGAAGGACGUGUAAGAGGACGAUGGCCUGGUGAAUGUAGAGACUCGGACCUCCCCCAACCCGGUGUCUAAAUACACACCUGCCUGUUCAGUUUAGCUCCCUGGUGGCCUGGCAAGGGCAGACCCAGGACGCACGGUGCCUGGGCCAGCAGGAGCAAGCAGCAGAGAGGGAGGAAGAGUUCCAGGGAGUUGAGCAAAGCAAGGUCCCAAGGAGCCACCGCCUGUGAAAGGGUGGUUCCAUCAGAGGGUGGCUGAGGCCCUUCCAGGCUGUUUCCCUGCAGGGUUCUGGCUCACCGGGGACGGGCAGCACCCAGGGCCUUCGUCAGUCUGCCCGGUCCCCUUCCCGAGAUGGGACUUUGAAGACUUCUACAUUUGAAACCCUUCAAAUAUGCCCCAUUCAUAGGAGAGAAGCACAACCAUUCCCGCUCUGCAGUGAGUGGAGCAAGGGCUUGCCCCGGCCGACCCACCCCUCACCCCCUUCCAAGAGCUCUGGCGUAGUUCGCACCCCGUGAGGAAGCGAGGCUGGGCCCAGGAGCACUGCAGCUCCCUCCUCCGGGAGCCAACUUCUGGGACUUUGCAAGCUCCCUGUGCUGCCUGUGGAGGGGCCCCCUCGAGGUGCAGGCUGUCCUGUGAUAGUUGGUGGUGUGUAUUCUUGUGUGUUGGUUACACUUGUCUUGAAAUUUAGAAUCAUUUCUCACAGAACUGUCUGUCAGGAAGAGAAAAGGGGCUAACAGCCCAGUCUUAGGUUCUUGCCCUGUUAUACCAUUUUAAAAUCGACAUUUAAUUUUUCAAAUCACUGUUGGUGCCUAAUCACUUAAGUUAUUAAUUUAUUCUGUUUUCUCUUUUAAAAAUGUGUAACAUGUAUUUAUCCUGUGCGUAGGUCUGGGGUGGGGUGGGAAUGUGUUCUUGUGAGUCCUGGUUUUGCUGUGGUGACACACGGCACAGGCCUGGAGCUUGCAGGGCCCUUUUUACGUGGUGUUGGAGCAGGACAACAAUAAAGUCCAUUAGAAGCAACCA